AAAGAUUACGCUAUGCAUGUAUAAGUACAUUUUUGAAACUGCGAACGGCUCAUUAGAGCUUAUAUAAAGUUUUCGGCUGCCUUUUAGGCUAUCUUCGACAAAUUGAAGCUAAUACAUGCAAACAUGCCCUUUUCGAAGGGCGCAAUAUUAGAACUACUGGCUUGCCGGCGGUUGAUUUCAAUUAUCGUUUCGAUAUCGGAAGGCGACUUCCGAUGGCCGUAAACUGUGUACGCCCUAUCACCCAGCAGGUUAAUCAUUCGCUAACCAGGGGUAUUACGGGUAACGGAGAACUAGGGUUCGUCUCCGGAGAGGAAGCCUUUGGAAGGCUACUACAUCCGAGGAAGGCAGCAGGCGCGUAACUUAUCCACUACCACAGUGAGAUAGUAACUAGUCUUAACUAUUGACUGAUCUUUUAGGUUAGUCAUGGUCCAUGAGUUGAGCCUAAAUAGCUCUUCGAGGACCAAGUGGAGGGCAAGUCUGGUGCCAGCAGCCGCGGUAAUUCCAGCUCCACUAGCGUAAAAUAUUACUGCUGCGGUUAAAAAGCUCGUAGUUGAAUCUAGUCGUGUCCGUUGGGUUUGUCGUUGGCGUUAAUUCGUCUCUGGCGUUAAUUCACGGCCGAUUUUUGCUGGUUUGCUGUUGGUCUUCGGAUCUUCGGUGGCUAGCGAGUUACUUUUGAUCAAAUCAGAGUGCUCAAAACAGGGCGAAAGCUCGUAUGAUUUCUCGGAGGAAUAACAGAAAGAGGACUUCCGGUUCUAUUUUGUUGGGUUCCAGAAAUCGGUUUAAUGGGUUAAAGAGGGGACAAUUUCGGGGGGCAAAACGGUAUCCCUCGCCGCCGAGGGGGUGAAAAUCCCGUGGGACCCGUGGAGGAAGACCGACCCAAAUAGCCGAAAAGCCAUUUUGC
rnacentral:rRNA from 1 species